CUACCUGAGUGUAUUUAAGUCUGUGUCGUCCUCUGUUCUGUGUCAGAUUGUUGUUGUAUGUGUGUGAAGCGGGCUGACUGCAGUAGUCUGUGAUGCUUUGAUUUAUGCUCUGUUUCUGGUGUACCUUUGUUCAUGGACUUUUGGUUUUUGCUGGCUCCCUGUUGGACUUGUCUCUUUUUGACUGCUUACCUGGCUGUGACCACUGUCUGCCUGUAAGCCUUGUUCUUUUCAUUAAAACUGUUGAACCAGACCUGCUGUCUGCGUUUGGGUCCUCUCCCUGUUUCCUGGUUUGAAACUUUAUUGUGACAAAUCUUUUAUGUAACAAGACUAUCUCUCUCAAUCAUCCACAGCAGCAAAGGGACACAAAAGGGUGCUGGAGCUAAUUCAAGAAUGGACCAAUUAAAAAUUUUGCCUGAAAAGUGAAUGUGACACACAGGAGCAACAUGAUCAUCCCAUUGGAGCGGUGUUCGUGUCCACCUGAUCAAUUGAUGUCAUCAUAUCCCCACAUCUCAGAUAUGAACUCGAUCGAUCCAAAGCUGCUUUUCCUGAGGCCUUAUCAUGGAAGCCAGAGGGGGAGACCCAAUCUAAUUCUGCGCUCCAGCAAUAUUCCACAAAGCAAUAUAACCAGACUGCGAUCAUAUCACAUCCAAAGGGAAAGAGCAAUAUUUUUCCAUCAUUCUUCUCUUCUUUCUCUCUUCCAGUCCUCCACUAAUGCUGGCCUUUUCUUCUCUCCCAAGGCCUCCCUCUCUUAUUGGACAGAAUGAAAGGACUUCAGUCAAGUGCUGACGCUCAGUUUCACCACGAGGCCGGUGGCUCAUCUAAAAGCGUCCUGUGGGGGAAAUAGUUCCUCUACACCAUCUGUCAUAUAAUUUGAUUAAUUAGCCGUUGGUAGCACUGUUGCCCCCCGCAGUGGGACUGAGGGUCGGCACUCGUCCAUCCCUCCAUCCCUCCGUCUGUCACACACAAUAUCUUGGAUGCUGCUGAUCAGAUUUUGAUGAAACUUCAGAGAAGGAUAUUUGUCACUGCUCCGAGUCCCGGCUGGGCUGCACUGAUAUUAAAUAUUUUACAGAUUAUGAUUAUCUUGGCCAAAAUUAUCUCAAUAUAUUAUGUUUCCACAAUUAGAGCCACAAGUGGAGAUUUUGAGGGUUCUGAGGGUUCAGGAGAUGAUUAACAAAAUAAUUAUGAAACAAAUUCUGCUGUACAAAUUGUCAUUUUCUUAUGCCUUUUUUGUAAGCUGUGCUUUUUUUGGGGGGGGGGGAUACUAGUUAGUUUGACUUCUUCAGGUCUCUAAAAAUUAUUCAAAUGAAACAAUCUGAGACAUACAUAUCAGUCUUUGAACUGUUCAAAAAUACCUUUGACAGAGGGUCACAAGUGUGUCACUUUGAAGGAGCCAAAUAAAAUAAAACUGUCUUCAGGGUGUCAAAGAUGCAGUAUAUUGCUGCUCUCCAGUGAAAACCAAGUAUUUACACACAGUGAAUUUUACAGAAACUGAAGAAAUGUUUAAUUUUUUGUGUUGCAUGAACUAUUUAAAAACCCAUUGGACUAGCAUAAAUAUUAACUCUCACAAAGCUGAAAGCAAGACUGUUUUUCUUAGCUCAUGAAAAGUUGACGGUGUGGAAGUACAUGGUUUUUACAUGGUAUUUACAGGACAGUAACUCCUCACCACCCACCAACUCCUGGAGUUGGUGGGUGGUGAGGAGUUACUGUCCGUCUCGUGUUUUAUGAAUAUUUGUAACACUUUAUGUGCUUUUACCGGCAGAAGUACUGCUCUUGAUAAUCUCUACAUCAUUCUUGAUAUAAAUAACCACUCUGAACAUGUUCUUCUGUUUUAUAAAUCAGUUGUGCUGUUUCUACCAGUUUGCUUUUUACUUUUUAAAUGAGGUUGAUCAGAGUUUUCUCUUUGAAAUCUUUCCUAACCAAAUGUUGCCUUCUCUACUAUCUGCCAUGACAGCAUAACUUCCAGUAGCUGCACAUGCAAAUAUAUGUAAAAUAAAGAAUAAAAUUUCAAUAGGCCCUGACCCAAUAAGCAUGAUUGCUGCAAUGAUGUUUCAACUCAAGUGGAGCUUAUAAUGACAUUUACAGACAGACUAAAGACCAUAGCACAUAACCUACAGCCCAAAGGAGUUACUGCAUUGUUUGCGGGGGAUGAUGUGUGCCUUGUUUUUAUUUGUGUGUGUGUGUUUGGAUCCUCUUGUAGAGUUGGAACAGUGUGUUGGAUCGGUGUAUCCCUGCAGGAGAACACAAGCUCUCAGAUCGCAGCACUGUCUCAUGACAUCAGAGCUUCACCUGCUCAGAAACAACAGGUUCAUCACUCAGGUGCACCAGCAGGCGAGCGGCAUCCUUCGCUUUGUGUCCAGAACAUAAUUUCAGUUGAUUACAACAUUCUUUGUUAUUAAUGUGUCUUUUAUUUUGGCGGAAGAACACUCAUCCCACCUCCCUUCCCACAGGAGAGGGUUGGCUCUCUCCAUGCCAGUGGCUGUGAAAACCAGCACAUUUUUCAUUAACAGGAUUAACUGUAAAUACAGACGAGUGUGUGUGUUGUGUUGUGUUGCCCAGGCUGCCAGUGAAUUUAAUCACUAACCAUUCCCUUUUUUUUCCUCUUCCACCGCCAAGACGUGAAAGCCAAUCAGCCUACUCCAAUAUGUGCAACAUCUCUGUGCCAGAACUGAUUGAGAGUCAACAAGCGAAGGCUAAGCGGAGGAAUGUUCUGGCAGCCUGCAGGGCGAGGGCGUUCAUUUUGUUUCCUGCUUUAACUACAGCAUCUUUUCCUACAAAAGGACUUGAAACACUGGACCACAAGGAGAUGACUCACCUUCUUAGCUGAUUUUACAUGCCCAGUGUUCACCUGUUUAAUGAAUAAAGAAGUUCAAAAAAAAAAUUCUUAAAAUGUAUGGAAUCUAAGGAAGAGAGUUGUUAAAUUUGAUCCUUGUUGUAUGUAAUUAUUGUAUAUUACUUAUUACUUUCUGUUUAACAACAAUGACAGUUUCCACUAGAUGCAGUAGGUGCUAUGGGAAUUGUAUGGCUACCACAAAACUUCAAUUAAUAGCCCGGGUUUUAUUUGCUUCAAUCACUGAACUCACCUUGUCAAUAUUUGGGACAGGCCUUUAAUUCCUUUAGCACAAAACUCUUGCUCAGCAAAGA